UACGUAGGUCCCGAGCGUUGUCCGGAUUUAUUGGGCGUAAAGCGAGCGCAGGUGGUUUAUUAAGUCUGGUGUAAAAGGCAGUGGCUCAACCAUUGUAUGCAUUGGAAACUGUUAGACUUGAGUGCAGUAGAGGAGAGUGGAAUUCCAUGUGUAGCGGUGAAAUGCGUAGAUAUAUGGAGGAACACCGGUGGCGAAAGCGGCUCUCUGGACUGUAACUGACACUGAGGCUCGAAAGCGUGGGUAGCAAACAGG
rnacentral:rRNA from 1 species